GGGGUGGGGUUGGGGGAGGGAGAGGGAGGGAGGCACUCCCUGACACUUCCUGCAAGUUGUUGUUACUAAGGCAGCAGAGUAGAAAGAUGAAGUGCAAGGACCUGGAAAUCAGACACACCUGGGUUCCUGGUGCGCUUCACUGCUUCCUGGUCUCUGAUAUCAGCUCUGCCCAAAUUUCAGCUGUCACAGAAUGAGUGAUCCUCAUAGUAUAAUGGAAAUGCAUCAUCUCAGUUUCCCCAUGGCCUGAAUGUCCACACAAAAUGAGAGCCAGUAGAGAAAAACAGAGGACGUGAGGAGUUUUUAAAAAUUGAGGAAAAGUGGAAGGAAAAGUAAGGAUAAAGGUGAAGAUGAAGGAAUAUGUCAGAGAUGCUAGCACGGGCAUCCCCAACCACACAGUACCAUGUCCUGCUAAAGAACUCUAUAGAACAUACAGGGUGUAGACGGCAGUCUUCUUGGGGAAUCCAUCUGAGAAAAAGAGGCUUCAGGAUUGCAAGAUUUCAGCUACUGUCUCUCCUCGGAGCAGGAUUCCAUCUUUUCCAUGGCUGGGGCCCUUGACACAUGUCACUGUGCACUGCUCUUCUCGCUGGGGCUUUUUCAGACACUCUGAUCCAGACCACUCCACUGCUAGGAGAGUCUCCUGGUGGGGGACUCUAUUACUUUGCAUGAGACUACCUUCUCACAUGGCUGCCCUGCUGACACCCCAUUGACUCCAGGGAAGGAAAUGGAAGGCUGAGACAGGAGAAGACAAAGGAAAGAGAGAGGGAAGGAUGGCGGUGGAGAGAAGAGAAAGGGAAAAGACAUUCUUGCUUGGAUCCCUACAGCAUUCCUGUCUGAUGGUUGAAGCUGGUAUUAUUCUCCUUGUCCAGAUUUCCAAAAGACCUUGGCUCAGGUGUCACUUUUUCAGAAAAGUAUUUACUGACUGUUGACUUGGCCAAAUCCCUGUGCUGUGUUUCCUAGCAUGGUAAAUCAACUGUAUCCAGUAGUGGGACAGAUGCAGCAUGAAAGAAGAAAGUUACAAUUGCUUUAUCUGAUGCUGUCACUCAUGCCUGGUGUUGAAAGGCGCACAUUUUAAAAAGUCUAAUAGCUCCGACAUAUCUAGGAAACAGAUGGGAAACAAAUGAAGCAUUGAUGGAUUCGCAAAUUCCAGUUCUUUGAUAUUUGUCUGCCCAGGAGUGGGUGGGACAGAGAAAUGUAAGGGAAUAAUGAGGAUACGGGUGGGGAAAGGCUUGCAAUUUUUCCCAUUCUUCUUUGGAUAUGGACUGAAGGAAGGAUGUGGGGAGGAGGCGUUUAUCUUUUGCUUGUACUCUGAACUUUUCCAAAGUUGCUGCAUUCCUUGGGAUAUAAAACUGUAAUCAAGAGUCUCUAAUGGAUAACUGCAAUUAUGCAUUGAGUCAUUCAACAAAUACACAUUAAUACUGACUAAAUUAAGCUUGAAUGGAACUUCAGGGCAAAAGAACAGAGAAAAUAAAAUACCACUAGAGAAG